GGAUGUGAGGGCAAUCUGAUUAAGACACCUGUAACCCCACUGAUCACCAGGGUUGAUUCGGCUGAUCUGGCUGGCUAGGCGGGUGUCCCCUUCCUCACCACUCCAUGUGCGUCCCUCCCAAAGCUGUGCACUCUGUCGAAGAGGAUGGACUUAGAGAAGAGAUGGACCCGUCUUCAUUCGAGGGUAUACGAGUAGAUGCGCUCCCCUGCUAGAACCUCCAAGCUCUCAAGGAACCCGGUUUAAGCACCGCCCCCACCUGCGGGGGGGGGGGGGGGGUGCUUCACAAACAGUGAAGCAGAUCUGCAGGUGUCUAUCUUUCUUC
rnacentral:snRNA from 1 species